GGGGGGGGGUGGGGGGGGGGGGGGCGGGUGCGAGGGGGGCGGGGGCGUGGGGGCUGGUGGCGCGCGGGGGCGGAGCGCGGGGGAACCGGGCCGGAGGGUCGGGAUAACGCCCCGAAAGGGGGGGUAAUAGCGGAUCAUGUCGUCGGACCACAGCUUUCGCGCCUGUGGAUGUGCCGGCGGUGGAUUAUCUAGUUGGUAGGGUAAAAGCCUACCAAGGCGACGAUCCAUAUACGGCCUGAGAGGAUGAUCAGCCACACUGGGACUGAGACACGGCCCAGACUCCUACGGGAGGCAGCAGUGGGGAAUAUUGGACAAUGGGCGAAAGCCUGAUCCAGCAAUGCCGCGUGAGUGAUGAAGGCCUUAGGGUUGUAAAGCUCUUUUACCCGGGAUGAUAAUGACAGUACCGGGAGAAUAAGCUCCGGCUAACUCCGUG
rnacentral:rRNA from 1 species